GAGUUUGAUCGUGGCUCAGGACGAACGCUGGCGGCGUGCCUAAUACAUGCAAGUCGAGCGGAUCUUCAUUAGCUUGCUUUUGAAGAUCAGCGGCGGACGGGUGAGUAACACGUGGGCAACCUGCCUGUAAGACUGGGAUAACUUCGGGGAAACCGGAGCUAAUACCGGGAUGAUCCUUUCCCUCUCAUGAGGAAAAGCUGAAAGACGGUUUCGGCUGUCACUUACAGAUGGGCCCGCGGCGCAUUAGCUAGUUGGUGAGGUAACGGCUCACCAAGGCGACGAUGCGUAGCCGACCUGAGAGGGUGAUCGGCCACACUGGGACUGAGACACGGCCCAGACUCCUACGGGAGGCAGCAGUAGGGAAUCUUCCGCAAUGGACGAAAGUCUGACGGAGCAACGCCGCGUGAGCGAUG
rnacentral:rRNA from 1 species